GAAGGGGGCGAGUCUGUUGCGAAGUAGGCGAAAGAAGAGCCGUCGCCGUCAGGCACCUCCCUGGUCCUCUCUGGCAGGCCGGAGACGAUCCAGGGAACUUUAGGCAAAUGGCGCCGCCUGUCGCUUAUUGCUGGAAAAGGGCCAGCUCCCCACUGAAAAGCAUCAAAUGCACCUGAUUUGUCAGGAACAUACGGGGGAAGAAUAAGAAAGAAGAAAAAGAAGGACGAAGAGGAAGAGGAAGAGGAAGUGGAAGAAGAGGAGGAAGAAGAAGAAGAAGUUUCUUGACUACUAUAAAGAUUUUACAAUUACACUUGUUCUAAGCAAUGAAGUGAUUCCAGCAAGCUUUACCAAUGGUGAGAUAGACUGGAAGUUAUAAUUCAGCAACAUCUGGAAGGCAGCAAGUUAUCCGCUC